UGGGAAUUUUGGACAAUGGGCGAAAGCCUGAUCCAGCAAUGCCGCGUGUGUGAAGAAGGCCUUCGGGUUGUAAAGCACUUUUGUCCGGAAAGAAAUCCUUGGCUCUAAUACAGUCGGGGGAUGACGGUACCGGAAGAAUAAGCACCGGCUAACUACGUGCCAGCAGCCGCGGUAAUACGUAGGGUGCAAGCGUUAAUCGGAAUUACUGGGCGUAAAGCGUGCGCAGGCGGUUUGCUAAGACCGAUGUGAAAUCCCCGGGCUCAACCUGGGAACUGCAUUGGUGACUGGGCAGGCUAGAGUAUGGCAGAGGGGGGUAGAAUUCCACGUGUAGCAGUGAAAUGCGUAGAGAUGUGGAGGAAUACCGAUGGCGAAGGCAGCCCCUGGGCCAAUACUGACGCUCAUGCACGAAAGCGUGGGGAGCAAAACAGGAUUAGAUACCCUGGUAGUCCACGCCCUAAAACGAUGUCAACUAGUUGUUGGGGAUU
rnacentral:rRNA from 1 species